rnacentral:rRNA from 1 species
GCGCAGCAGUCGCGAAUUUUUCUCAAUGGGGGAAACCCUGAAGGAGCGACGCCGCGUGGAGGAUGAAGGUCUUCGGGUUGUAAACUCCUGUCAUUUGGGAACAAGCGUCGGUAGGUAACUACUACCGGCUUGAUAGUACCAGAAGAGGAAGAGACGGCUAACUCUGUGCCAGCAGCCGCGGUAAUACAGAGGUCUCAAGCGUUGUUCGGAUUCAUUGGGCGUAAAGGGUGCGUAGGUGGCGCCGUAAGUGGGGUGUGAAAUUUCGGAGCUUAACUCCGAAACUGCAUUCCAUACUGCGGUGCUUGAGGACUGGAGAGGAGACUGGAAUUCAUGGUGUAGCAGUGAAAUGCGUAGAGAUCAUGAGGAAGACCAGUGGCGAAGGCGGGUCUCUGGACAGUUCCUGACACUGAUGCACGAAGGCCAGGGGAGCAAACGGGAUUAGAUACCCCUGUAGU